GGCUAAUACCGCAUGAUGCCUACGGGCCAAAGAGGGGGACCUUCGGGCCUCUCGCGUCAGGAUAUGCCUAGGUGGGAUUAGCUAGUUGGUGAGGUAAGGGCUCACCAAGGCGACGAUCCCUAGCUGGUCUGAGAGGAUGAUCAGCCACACUGGAACUGAGACACGGUCCAGACUCCUACGGGAGGCAGCAGUGGGGAAUAUUGCACAAUGGGCGCAAGCCUGAUGCAGCCAUGCCGCGUGUGUGAAGAAGGC
rnacentral:rRNA from 1 species